rnacentral:lncRNA from 1 species
CCCAAAUCACAUUUACACUUAUAACCCAAAUUACUAAAUAAACUCUUUAAGCCCAAUUUUAACCCAAACCCAAAUUGAGACUGCUCUAGCCCAAUUAAAUAAGCCUAACCCAAAACCUACUGGCCUAAUAACCCCAACCCAAAUACUUGGACCCAAUGGUCCAAUCAUGGACUCAGUAACCCAAUUCCAAGACUGGCCCAAAUGGCCCGGGAAAAUCGAAUCUUCUAGAAACCCUAGGGUUUCCCUUGUUACUAGGUGCCGCAGCCUCCGUACACCCCAGGCACGGCCCUCUUACGACCUCCGUACACUUCCAUAUUAGUCGAACCAGCGAGAAGGAAUGAAGCAAUAAUAACAAAAUCCAAUAGUAGUAUAGCAGGAAAAUAAAAUAGAUUUGAUUCUUUUUCCAUUUCUUUGAUAUUUUAUUAGAUUUGGCUAUAAAAGCCAAAUGAAAAACACUGUGUAAACCUUAUGCAUACAUGCAAUACAGAUAAAAAAAGUAGCAAAAAGAAAAAUAGUUUAUUCGAAGGUAUAUUUCCUUGUUUUUUAGCCUACGCACAUCGAAUAUAGCGUACAUACAUAUAUAGUUAUAGAAAAAAUACCAUUCUUUUACCUUUUUGGGCGAUCGGUAGAGAGGAAACCGAAUCAUUUUCUCGAUUCCUUUCAGCCGUCGUGAGAUUUCUGGGUGUUGUGAUUGCAGAUAUGAGUCGGAGGAAGGAAAUAGGUCGAAAAGGGCCCUUGGUUGGGUCUCGAACGUCACGUACGACAGCGUACGGCCAUGGCCCGAUGAUCGGAGCUUGGUCAGAAGUCAGAGCUCAGAGGGCUAGGGAGCAACGAGUACUCUCUUUUUUAUUUUAUUUUAUUUUUUA